UCCUGUAGAAUUUUUUUUAGAAUAUAAUAUUGAAGAUAUUAAGGAGGUUAGCCCGCAGGAA
rnacentral:tRNA from 1 species